AGAGUUUGAUCAUGGCUCAGAUUGAACGCUGGCGGCAUGCUUUACACAUGCAAGUCGAACGCGCCAGGGGGCAACUCCUGGUGAGUGGCGAACGGGUGAGUAAUGCAUCGGAACGUGUCCCGUAGUGGGGGAUAACUCGGCGAAAGCCGAGCUAAUACCGCAUAUGCUCUACGGAGGAAAGUGGGGGACCGCAAGGCCUCACGCUAUGGGAGCGGCCGAUGUCCGAUUAGCUUGUUGGUGGGGUAAUGGCUUACCAAGGCGACGAUCGGUAGCUGGUCUGAGAGGAUGAUCAGCCACACUGGGACUGAGACACGGCCCAGACUCCUACGGGAGGCAGCAGUGGGGAAUUUUGGACAAUGGGGGAAACCCUGAUCCAGCCAUGCCGCGUGCGGGAAGAAGGCCUUCGGGUUGUAAACCGCUUUUAGCCGGGAAGAAAAGGCGCGAGCUAAUACCUCGCGUUCUUGACGGUACCGGCGGAAUAAGCACCGGCUAACUACGUGCCAGCAGCCGCGGUAAUACGUAGGGUGCGAGCGUUAAUCGGAAUUACUGGGCGUAAAGCGUGCGUAGGCGGUUCGUUGUGUCUGUGGUGAAAGCCCCGGGCUUAACCUGGGAAUUGCCAUGGAAACUGGCGAGCUUGAGUGUGGCAGAGGGGGGUGGAAUUCCGCGUGUAGCAGUGAAAUGCGUAGAGAUGCGGAGGAACACCGAUGGCGAAGGCAGCCCCCUGGGCUAGCACUGACGCUCAGGCACGAAAGCGUGGGGAGCAAACAGGAUUAGAUACCCUAGUAGUCC
rnacentral:rRNA from 1 species